rnacentral:lncRNA from 1 species
UACUACUAUUUGGACAAAAGAUGUCAACUAAUAUCCAUUAUCUAGAGAUGAGUGCCCCAAACAUGCUUUUGUUCACACUCCCUUCUCCGCGGCUUUCCACGUCAACUCCAGGCUGCCUGGAGGCCCUGGAGUGGCAUUGGCCAUGCUAAGAAGAAUGAUACAGGAAAGAAGGAGAAGAGAUCCAUUGUCAUUUCAGAAGAGAAAGUAGGUCCCAUGCAAACUCAACUUCUUUCAGAACUGAUUGACACAUCAAUUGUGAAAAUUAUGGAAACUGUAGUUAAAGACGAAGAAAAUAAAAAUCAAAACAAAUGCCGUCACCUAAUGAUAACAACUGUUAAU